rnacentral:sRNA from 1 species
GUGAAGUUUUGGUGAAGGGUGAAGGGUGAAACUCCCAAAGCCGAAUUCGAUCUUCUCUGAAAACAUAAUCACAUUUGUUUGGAAAAUCUGUUAGUUGGGCUUUGGUCCUAUUGGUUUACGUGAUAGUCAGAAAUGCAGGCAGUUUGAUUACCUCUGGCAUUAGUUGGAAAGCAUUCCAAACAUGGAUACACAUUGUGGUAGUCCAUUGGAGAGAAGACCACUCUGAAGCAUUUCAGUGCAUUUCUAUAAGGACAAACCGGAUAAGCUGUCUACUGUUCUAAGUAGGCAUGCGAUUAAAAACUGAACCGGUUUUUCUGAACCAAAUUGAGAUCUGAGAGUUCGGUUAGAUAGUUAACCGCUUUUCUUUUGUGGACUUUUAGUAUUUUUCCAACAAACUUAACCAAAAAAAAUACCGAAUAUUCAUGAAAUUAUAACAAUAUU